UCGGCUAUAGUUGCCGCUUCAUAUAGCAUUGAAAUGCUAACUUGUAAAAUAUGAGUAAUGACUCUAGUUUAAUCUUUUCUAAUCCUUUAUAAGUGAAAAGUAAACAUGCCCAAGAGUCUAAAUUGACUUUCCGACAGGUCGACGACGCGCUAAUUACGGUAGAGGCCGUUCUAGUUCUAUUUGCAAGGAGUCGCGAGAGAAAACUGUCGACGCUUUUCGAGACCCUGAUCUUAGUUGAUUGACACCGCUACAGGUUCCAGUGCGAGUUUUGAGGCCGAGGAUCGUGGCAAGGGCCCUGCAGCUUAGCUAGCUGACACCAGAGUUUAGCAAUUACCAUUUUGAGUUCAUGUAUCAUCCAUUUUGAUGUACAGAGACAUGUAAAUGAAUGUAUAAAAGUAUGUAUAUAACUAAAUGUUUUAGUUACAAGUUCAGUUGUGAAAGUUUUAAAUUACAGUGAA